rnacentral:tRNA from 1 species
GCCCGUGCCAGAGGUAACCAGGCACACCGAUCAACUCGUAAUGCGUAGGUCGACGGUUCGAUUCCGUCAGGCGGCU